GGGGCAGUACACGUUCAAAUGGUCAGCCCAGCAAACUGAGACAUUUGUGCGCAUGAGGGUGGCGCACCAACAUCUAUUUACAGGUGGACGGGAUACUGCCAUUAAUGGCUAUCGGUGAGAAGCUCUUGUGGGAUCCAAUGUUGUUAAAUAAAUGCACCACCGAUCAUUUGCAAUGUUUGUAAUUUUUAAUGAACAUAUUUAAUUGUAAUUUAUAUAAUUGUUUUGCGUGUUCAUAGCACUUUGAACAGCUAGAGCUGACAGGCCGGGUGACCCCACUGCAGGCCAAAAAAAAGUGGGAUAACCUUAAAACUAAAUAUAAGGUGAGGAGUAAGAUGACAGCAAUAUUGUUUUGACAAUAAGUGCCUACAUGCUGUGUCCUAGUUGUAUGUAUAACAGUGAAAUAUUAGAUUGCUAAUUGCCUAGUUGUUUAUCAUAUUUUUAUUGUCAGGAUUGCAAGUGCCCUGCCUCAGGUCAAGGCACGGAGGAUGGCAGGCCCACAGCAGGGACAUGGCGCUGGUUUGCCUUAAUGGACGAACUCAUUGGCAUGUCAGCAGCCGUGUCACCGCCAGUGGUAGUGGGCUCUCUCCCAGCCAGGCCAGGCCAGGUUAGGGUCAGAGUGGAGGAGGAGGUGGUGAGAGCAGGAACCAGCACAGCGACAGCCGCAGGGGCAGCCAGCACAGCGACAGCCGCAGGGGCAGCCAGCACAGCGACAGC
ensembl:lncRNA